rnacentral:rRNA from 1 species
UUGGCGGCCACAGCGCGUCGGACCCACCCCUUCCCAUCCCGAACAGGGCCGUGAAACGGCGCCGCGCCGAUGAUAGUGGGGGGCUAUCCCCCGCGAAAGUAGGUCACCGCC